UACGGAGGGUGCGAGCGUUGUUCGGAAUCACUGGGCGUAAAGGGCGUGUAGGCGGUCCGCUAAGUCUGAUGUGAAAGCCCGGGGCUCACCCCCGGAAGUGCAUUGGAAACUGACAGACUGGAGUCCCGGAGAGGAGGGUGGAAUUCCUGGUGUAGCGGUGAAAUGCGUAGAUAUCAGGAGGAACACCGGUGGCGAAGGCGGCCCUCUGGACGGUGACUGACGCUGAGACGCGAAAGCGUGGGGAGCGAACCGG
rnacentral:rRNA from 1 species